rnacentral:rRNA from 1 species
UACGGGGGGGGCAAGCGUUGUUCGGAAUUACUGGGCGUAAAGGGCGCGUAGGCGGCUCUUCAAGUCAGCCGCGAAAUCUCCGGGCUUAACCCGGAAGGGUCGGUUGGUACUGUCGAGCUAGAGUGUAGAAGAGGCAACUGGAAUUCCGUGUGUAGCGGUGAAAUGCGUAGAUAUACGGAGGGACACCUGCGGCGAAGGCGGGUUGCUGGGCUAACACUGACGCUGAGGCGCGAAAGCUAGGGUAGCAAACGGG